AGAAUCAACGCUGGCGGCGUGCCUAACACAUGCAAGUCGAACGGGAAAGUGGAGCAAUCCAUGAGUAAAGUGGCGACCGGGUGAGUAACACGUGACUAACCUACCUUCGAGUGGGGGAUAACCUCGGGAAACCGAGGCUAAUACCGCAUAACAUCGCAAGAUCAAAGCAGCAAUGCGCUGGAAGAGGGGGUCGCGGCUGAUUAGCUAGUUGGCGGGUAACGGCCCACCAAGGCGAAGAUCGGUA
rnacentral:rRNA from 1 species